AAGUCGUAACAAGGUUUCUGUAGGUGAACCUGCAGAAGGAUCAUUAGUGAAGAUUUGGGCCAGCCAUACGGACGCUACCGCGUCUCUGGCGCCCACCACUAUAUCCACACCAACCCCUGUGCACUGUGAUGGCGAAAGUCAUCGAACCAAAAAAACUCGUAUGGUUGUAUGUACGUGAAACUGUAGGCUUUGCCUACGAACUAUACACAACUUUCGACAACGGAUCUCUUGGUUCUCC
rnacentral:misc_RNA from 1 species